CUACGGGGCGCUGCAGUCGAGAAUCUUUUGCAAUGCGGGAAACCGUGACAAUGCGACGCCGCGUGAGCGAUGAAGCCCUUCGGGGUGUAAAGCUCUGUCAGCCCGGAUGAAUAUUCAUCCUAAAAUAUAGGAUGGAGAUGACAGUACGGGCAGAGGAAGCCACGGCUAACUCCGUGCCAGCAGCCGCGGUAAUACGGAGGUGGCAAGCGUUGUUCGGAUUCAUUGGGUGUAAAGGGUAUGUAGGUGUCCCUAUAAGUCGAAUGUGAAAUCCCUUGGCUUAACCAAGGAACUGCACUCGAUACUGCAGGGAUUGAGUAUGGAAGAGGAGAGUGGAAUUCCCGGUGUAAGGGUGAAAUCUGUAGAUAUCGGGAGGAACACCAGUGGCGAAAGCGGCUCUCUGGUCCAAUACUGACACUGAAAUACGAAAGCUAGGGGAGCAAACAGGAUUAGAUACCCCGGUAGUC
rnacentral:rRNA from 1 species